AACUUAAACUGCAAGUUAGCUAAAAUUAGAAGCUUGCUGCUAUGACGAAGCGGGGGAGGAGUGAUAACUAGGGGGCAACCUGCCUGUGAACUGGGAUAACUUCGGGAAACCGAAGCUAAUACCGGAUAGGAUCUUCUCCUUCGUGGGAGAUGAUUGAAAGAUGGUUUCGGCUAUCACUUACAGAUGGGCCCGCGGUGCAUUAGCUAGUUGGUGAGGUAACGGCUCACCAAGGCAACGAUGCAUAGCCGACCUGAGAGGGUGAUCAGCCACUGGGACUGAGACACGGCCCAGACUCCUACGGGAGGCAGCAGUAGGGAAUCUUCCGCAAUGGACGAAAGUCUGACGGAGCAACGCCGCGUGAGUGAUGAAGGCUUUCGGGUCGUAAAACUCUGUUGUUAGGGAAGAACAAGUACGAGAGUAACUGCUCGUACCUUGACGGUACCUAACCAGAAAGCCACGGCUAACUACGUGCCAGCAGCCGCGGUAAUACGUAGGUGGCAAGCGUUAUCCGGAAUUAUUGGGCGUAAAGCGCGCGCAGGCGGUUUCUUAAGUCUGAUGUGAAAGCCCACGGCUCAACCGUGGAGGGUCAUUGGAAACUGGGGAACUUGAGUGCAGAAGAGAAAAGCGGAAUUCCACGUGUAGCGGUGAAAUGCGUAGAGAUGUGGAGGAACACCAGUGGCGAAGGCGGCUUUUUGGUCUGAACUGACGCUGAGGCGGAAAGCGUGGGGAGCAAACAGGAUUACAUACCCUGGUAGUCCACGCCGUCAACGAUGAGCUAAGUGUUAGAGGGUUCCCCCCUUUAUGCUGCACUAAUUUAUCAUCCUCUG
rnacentral:rRNA from 2 species